UACAGAGGUCUCAAGCGUUGUUCGGAAUCACUGGGCGUCAAGGGUGCGUAGGUGGCGUGGCAAGUCAGAUGUGAAAGCCCGGGGCUCAACCUCGGAAUUGCAUCCGAUACUGCCAUGCUGGAGUACUGAAGAGGUGACUAGAAUUCUCGGUGUAGCAGUGAAAUGCGUAGAUAUCGAGAGGAAUACCAAAGGCGAAGGCAGGUCACUGGGCAGUUACUGACACUGAGGCACGAAGGCCAGGGGAGCAAACGGG
rnacentral:rRNA from 1 species